ensembl:lncRNA
UACAUGGGAACUCAUCAUACUUUUUUAUUUGUUUGAAAUUUCCAAAUUUAAAAAAGAAGUCAAGGACACAGAAAUUUUCCAGUAAUAAAGAAUUGACAUAAAAACUUUCCUUAAACAAACAAUAAGGUCAUCUAAUCAAUCUUGCUGGUGUAUUUUGGUGAAAAUGAAAAACAGAUUGUGCAUUUCUGAUAAAAUAAGUCUUGAUUUAAAUAAAUGAAGGUGCCAAUGUAAAUGACUCUCAAAAUUCUGUGUAUCUUGUUUAGUCAAACUGAAAAAUAGAGGUGAGUAGAGAGGGAGGCGUGCACAGCGUGGCAUGGGUGGUCUAGCUCUCCAACAAAAGAGCGACACCGCAAGAAGGGAUGUUGACUGGGGAAUCCUGAGGAAAGUUCAGUGAGAAAGGACGCAAAAGAAUGAGGGAGAAGGCAGGGAAGGACGCAGGGAGCAACAACGAGGCAUCAAAAAUAGAGGAGAAAACCCUCAAGUGACUCUCAAAGAGAUUUCACACAAGCUUCUGCUUGAGCCCAGUUCAGAAAUUGAAGCGACCCCCUGCUCUGUGGGACAUCCACCCCCGGGAAUGGAGCACAGCACCCUGUCACCUCACAUAAGGAAGAUAUCAUGGAAUUGAGGCAAAUCCCUCAGAAAGCAGUUCCCUCUCGUUCUCAUGGAGCUCAGAUACAAGGGUUCAAGAAGCUUAGUCAUUUAACCUGUGUCGAGAAACAGGAUCCAGACGCUUUGGAAAUUAAUUGAAAGGGCCCACCCUGAGGUUCACAAAGAAAGGCUAAACCUUGCUGGGGCCGGAAACUCCUAGUAAGUGGGGGUCCAGGACACGACAGGGCGCCGAGGAGGCCCCUGCAGAGAUGCAGCGUGAGGGGAGGUCAUGUAGUUCUGGGUGCACUCAGCUGUGGCACGACGAAGGAUACGCCAACUCUUCUCCUCUGGCACAGGCAAUGAAGACGAGGAGCCCGCUGGCCUCCAGGGGCCCUUGAUUACCUCCUGGCGCAAAGCGUUCCCUGUCAGAAAAAGAGGAAGAGAAAGGAAGAGAAUGCCAGGAUUUCUAGCAAGGACUGGCUCUGAGCUAACACUAAUUAGCUAACCUAGUGGAAAUCUGUGUGUCUGUCCUUGAACCAUCCCCGAGGCCUGGAGUGGCUUAUCUCCCCUGCCAUCUGCACACCGUGUGCCAAACACCAAAACACUACUCUGUGCCUGGUCCAGCCCUCACAACAGCACCGGGGAGACUCCUGUGAUUAUUUGUUCUCGUGGUUUCACCAAACAGGCUGUUUAGAAGCACAUUCAAAAGAGAGUCGUCGCGUCAGAUUAGCAUGUUGAGUCCCACCGGGACAGGGAUAACACGGAUAAAGGGUUCUCAGGGGACUCUCUAUGGCCCUGGAGAGCCUACCAAGGUCUUUCUGUGUGAAGGCAGCAAAAGGCUAUGUUUUUUUAAGUUUAAGCAUAAAUUACAGUAAAAAACACACAUUUUCUUUGGAGUUCAGAUUUCAUUCUUACAGAAAUCUACCCCUGUGUAACAACCACUGGGAUCAAGACAUAGAAUAUUUCUGUCGCCCCGUGAAGCUCCCUCAUGCCCCAUGGGUCAACAACCCCUCAAAAGUAACCAUUAAUCUGUCAUCUCUGAUCAAUUCUUGAACUUCACAUGAAGAGAAUCACGCAGGACGUGCCUAUGGCACACACUCUUGUUUUUGGCUUCCUUCCGUCAAGACCUAUCUGUGAGCUUCCCCAAUGUGGCAGGUGACAGUAGUUCAUUCCUUUUAUUGCUGUGUAGUAGUCCAUUAUAUAAACAGUUUGCAGUUUAUUUAUCC